rnacentral:rRNA from 1 species
AUUGAACGCUGGCGGCAGGCUUAACACAUGCAAGUCGAGCGGGGGAAGGUAGCUUGCUACCGGACCUAGCGGCGGACGGGUGAGUAAUGCUUAGGAAUCUGCCUAGUAGUGGGGGACAACAUCUCGAAAGGGAUGCUAAUACCGCAUACGUCCUACGGGAGAAAGCAGGGGAUCUUCGGACCUUGCGCUAAUAGAUGAGCCGAAGUCGGAUUAGCUAGUUGGUGGGGUAAAGGCCUACCAAGGCGACGAUCUGUAGCGGGUCUGAGAGGAUGAUCCGCCACACUGGGACUGAGACACGGCCCAGACUCCUACGGGAGGCAGCAGUGGGGAAUAUUGGACAAUGGGGGGAACCCUGAUCCAGCCACGCCGCGUGUGUGAAGAAGGCCUUAUGGUUGUAAAGCACUUUAAGCGAGGAGGAGGCUACUUUAGUUAAUACCUAGAGAUAGUGGACGUUACUCGCAGAAUAAGCACCGGCUACUCUGUGCCAGCAGCCGCCGUAA